rnacentral:rRNA from 1 species
GAUGAACGCUAGCGGCAGGCUUAAUACAUGCAAGUCGAGGGGCAUCAAGGUACACGAAAGUGUAUUGUUGGCGACCGGCGGACGGGUGAGUAAUAGGUAGGUAACCUACCUCAUACUGAGGCAUAGCUGGGAGAAAUUCCAGGUAAUUCCUCAUGAGGUUAUAUGACACAUGUGAUAUAAUCAAAGGUAUCGCAAGGUACUGGUAUGAGAUGGGCUUACUGACCAUUAGCUAGUUGGUGAGAUAAGAGCUCACCAAGGCGAAGAUGGUUAGGGGUUUGAGAGAGAGAUCCCCCACAUUGGAACUGAGAUACGGUCCAGACUCCUACGGGAGGCAGCAGUAGGGAAUAUUGGGCAAUGGGCGGAAGCCUGACCCAGCCAUGCCGCGUGAAGGAAGACGGCCUUAUGGUUGUAAACUUCUUUACUAUGCGACUAACUAGAUUUACGAGAUAAUCUAUAGAAUGUAGCAUAGCAAAAAGCAACC